UGGGGAAUAUUGGACAAUGGGGGCAACCCUGAUCCAGCCAUGCCGCGUGUGUGAAGAAGGCCUUCGGGUUGUAAAGCACUUUCAGUGGUGAGGAAGGCUUGCAAAUUAACACUUUGCAAGAUUGACGUUAGCCACAGAAGAAGCACCGGCUAACUCCGUGCCAGCAGCCGCGGUAAUACGGAGGGUGCGAGCGUUAAUCGGAAUUACUGGGCGUAAAGCGCACGUAGGCGGUUUGUUAAGCAAGAUGUGAAAGCCCCGGGCUCAACCUGGGAAUAGCAUUUUGAACUGGCAAGCUAGAGUUUUGAAGAGGGUGGUAGAAUUUCCUGUGUAGCGGUGAAAUGCGUAGAUAUAGGAAGGAAUACCAGUGGCGAAGGCGGCCACCUGGUCAAAAACUGACGCUGAGGAGCGAAAGCGUGGGGAGCAAACAG
rnacentral:rRNA from 1 species